GUUUCCGUGGUGUAGUGAUUAUCAAGUGAGCCUCACACGCGCAAGGUCCCCGGUUCGAGCCCGGGCGGAAACA